UGUGACCGAGCUCUGGCAUUUGAGCUGCCUACAUAUUCUUGGCUAUAAAGGAAUCAGGCCACGUGUAGUUCAGAAAUGAGUGAGGUGAUGGAGUAUGCCGAGGUAGAGAUCUGGUCGAGGUGCCGUUCCGUCGAGGUUCCAGUUUGCGGUCCCUGUUAUUACAUCAAAAAUCAAAAGAUGAAAAAGACUAGCUAAGCCUAUCGACUAUGAGCUACAAGAUUCAUAUCUAUAAGUCUUCUGAAGCUUGAUCUUGAGUCUUGAAUGGUUCUUCAUGCAGACUUUAGAUUUGAACCUUGACACUUGUUAGCUGCAGGUGCUAGCUCAUUCUUCUACAGCUUUUGGGUCAGGACCGGUCAUGUAGUGCUUGUGACCUCGGCUAUGUCUUGAGCAGCUCACAUCCUUCAUCAACUUCUGAAUUGCAUUCUGAAUUGCAUUCCCUUUUUUCCUUUUCAGGUGGGCGUGUGAUUGCUGAACCUGAAUUGUCUUCCCUUGUUACUUGACACUAUUUUCCCUUACACUUUGAACCAUUUUCGCUGAAACUCGAACUGUCUUCCUUCGAAACUGUCUUCCCUAGAAACUUGAGUUGUUUUCCCUUGUUCUCCAGGUGAGCGCCCUAUUUUCCAGGCGGGUUCCUGAUUUCCGAAACUUUGUUCUUCAGGAGGGCUCCUAACUGCUGAACUCUGUUAUACAGGCGGGCUCC
rnacentral:lncRNA from 1 species